rnacentral:rRNA from 1 species
ACGGGUGAGUAACACGUGACUACUACCCUCGAGUGGGGAAUAACUCCGGGAAACCGGGGCUGGUACCGCAUAACAUCGAGAGAUCAAAGCAGCAAUGCGCUUGAGGAGGGGGUCGCGCCUGAUUAGCUAGUUGGUGGGGUAACGGCCCACCAAGGCGAAGAUCGGUAGCCGGCCUGAGAGGGCGCACGGCCACACUGGAACUGAAACACGGUCCAGAGCGUCCUACGGGAGGCAGCAGUGGGGAAUUUUGCGCAAUGGGGGAAACCCUGACGCAGCAACGCCGCGUGGAGGAUGAAGUCCCUUGGGAUGUAAACUCCUUUCGAUCGGGACGAUUUAUGACGGUACCGGAAGGAAGAAGCACCGGGUAAACUCUGUGCCAGC